rnacentral:rRNA from 1 species
AGAGUUUGAUCCUGGCUCAGGACGAACGCUGGCGGCGUGCUCAAUACAUGCAAGUCGAGCGAGGUUACUGCGACAGAUCCCUUCGGGGUGAAGUUGCUUUAGCCUAGCGGCGGACGGGUGAGUAACGCGUGGGUAACCUACCCUAAAGUUCGGGAUAACAGCGGGAAACCGCUGCUAAUACCGGAUACCUUUACCGUGUGGCAUCACAGGGUAAAGAAAGGUAACGCUUUAGGAUGGGCCCGCGUCCCAUUAGCUAGUUGGUGAGGUAACAGCUCACCAAGGCGACGAUGGGUAGCCGGCCUGAGAGGGUGGACGGCCACACUGGGACUGAGACACGGCCCAGACUCCUACGGGAGGCAGCAGUAGGGAAUAUUGCGCAAUGGACGGAAGUCUGGCGCAGCGACGCCGCGUGAGCGAUGAAGGCCUUCGGGUCGUAAAGCUCUGUCCUUGGGGAAGAAGGUUUUCGGACUUGACGGUACCCAAGAAGAAAGCCCCGGCUAACUACGUGCCAGCAGCCGCGGUAAUACGUAGGGGGCGAGCGUUGUCCGGAAUUACUGGGCGUAAAGGGUGCGUAGGCGGCCCUUUAAGUCAGAUGUGAAAGCCCGCAGCUUAACUGCGGAAUUGCAUUUGAAACUGGAGGGCUUGAGUGUCGGAGAGGGUAGUGGAAUUCCCAGUGUAGCGGUGAAAUGCGUAGAUAUUGGGGAUGAACACCAUAUGGCGAA